ACCCUCCAGAUUCCUUUCUCCUGAGACCUAAACCCUGGUCUGAGUAGUUAAAAAGGGAAGGAAAGGAAAAGCAAACAGACUUAAAGUAUUUGGUGACACACAAGUUAGUUUCGAGAGAGA
rnacentral:snoRNA from 1 species